rnacentral:rRNA from 1 species
AUGGUUUGGCUUCUGGACGAUGUCUACGACGUGCAACACCGGUCCUACAUGAUGCGCGAGAAGGAUAAGAAGCUUGAACCUCUGAAGAUUCGGUAUCACGGGGUCUCUGGUCCUGCCAUGCCUUACGAUGAGCGGUACACACCGUACAUCAAGCAGGCAGGACUACUCCCGUGGAUUCUGUUGGUCAGCCGGUCCACGCCGAAUCUGAACGCUCCACUGGUGUCCGCUCUUGUUGAUCGGUGGAGGCCAGAGACCCACAGUUUCCAUCUUCGGACCGGGGAGAUGACCGUGACGCUCGAGGAUGUCUCGUUGAUCACCGAUCUUGCUAUCGACGGGAGGCCUCUAUGUAUGAGCACCGAUUCUGAUGGGUGGCGCGAGCAGAUGAUUGCUCUUAUCGGUAUGGCUCCUACCGAGGCUGAGGAUGAUGUAGAGGAGGGAGAAGAGAAGAAGAAGAGGGAAAGGAAGGCAGCUGGAGCUGCUUUCACGUGGAUUCAAAAUAACUUUGCGACGUGCCCUCCGGAUGCAACUGAUGAUGUGAUCCAGACACAUGCUCGUGUGUAUAUGUGGUACAUUGUGUCGAGGACUUUGUUUCCUGACUCCACUGGCAAGAACGCUCCAUGGAUGUGGCUGAAGGCGUUGACCGUCUUCGAUAGCAAAUGGAGCUGGGGUUCAGCGACUCUUGCCUACUUGUACCGACAGCUGGAUGAUGCGUGUUGCAGGAUCACACCUAGUGCAGGCAUUGGUGGUAAUCUGCUUCUACUUUCUGUAUGGAGCUGGGAGCGUCUGCCUGUUGGACGCCCGAAGAGCAUCAGGUUUGAUCCUUGGUAUGCAGAUGAACAUGACGAAUUACGGCGCCCCACGUGGGCUUACAAGUGGGAUAUCGUUUCCGAGAUGACGAACGAUGUCAAUCUCAUGUACCAAAAGUACAUUGCCGAGUUGGACACGAUUACGCCUGAGCAGGUGGAAUGGCAGCCAUAUGGCGCGGGUGGGAGCUUGGGGUACACCGCGGAGUUCCGCCUCAACCCGAUGUGCUUGCGGGAUAAGGAUCUCUGGCUUAUGCGGUGCCCAUUGAUAUGCAACUGGGCGGUUGAGUUUCAUUUGCCGCAUCGCGUGUAUCGUCAGUUUGGUCUUUUCCAGCCUCACCCGCCGGAUUGGGUGGACACGGAUAAAGCACUUCAUAGGUUGGACAGGAGAAGGCAACGGAAGAUAAAGGACUGGGCCAAGCAUCAUUCUGCGUAUGUUACCCGCUUCCAGCUUUGUGUGGAGCAAGCUCGUAGCACUGCACGCGCCCCGCUUCGUGAGCACAACUCACUUGCUUUUGAUAACUACGUACGAUGGUUUAUUGGAACUACUCGAGUUGAGAUAUGCCCGCCGGCAUAUAAUGAGGAUAUUCUUGAAGAACCCGUAAACUUUGAGGAUCUAGCAAAGGGGAAGUACAACAGAGAUGUCAGGCUAGGGCAAGGAGUGCCUGCUGUUCCGGUGAUUAACUAUGUGCGCACCGAGAUCAAGAAAGCAGCUGAUGAGAGCCAGUCUAUUCUGGAGAAGACACCGGUUGGAACUGGCAAUGAUGAUGGUUCACUACGAGCAUUCCUCAAGGCAAGAAGUUAA